CUUUGAUCCUCAUCCGCUGGUUUUAGUAGAUGGCCAGCAGAAGGCCCAGUGCCUCAGAUGAGGAGCUCAGAGAGCUCAUCGCUAGGCUCCAAUCCGGUCUUCCCGAGACACACCAUCGUAGCAGGAAAGGAGCUUCAGCUGCAUCGCUACUGAAGGAGACGUGCGAGUACAUUAAGAGCCUUCACCGGGACGUCGACGAACUCAGCGACCGCCUGUCGGAGCUGGUGGCAACCAUGGACGUGAACGGCGCACAGGCCGAGAUCCUGCGGAGCCUCUUCCGUUCCUGACCACCUUCUGCUUCAUCUUCUCAGCUCGGCAGAGAACGGCAUCGCCAUACAUGUAGAAUGCACCUUAAGCCAUAUCAGAUCUAACGACUGUAGGUAGUAUUUGCUUCUAUUUUCGUACACUACAUUCACUGUGAGGUCCGGCUCGAGUUGCUUCAUCUAUAGAAGACCCGAGCGGCCACUACUUCGAACGGACAUUCAUGUACGCCAUGCGGCUUCUACUUGGUCUCCAUAUAUAGUUUAUUCUUUCCA